rnacentral:rRNA from 1 species
UGCAAGUAGAACGCACAGUUUAUACCGUAGCUUGCUACACCAUAAGCUGUGAGUUGCGAACGGGUGAGUAACGCGUAGGUAACCUGCCUGGUAGCGGGGGAUAACUAUUGGAAACGAUAGCUAAUACCGCAUAAUAUUGAUUAUUGCAUGAUAAUUGAUUGAAAGAUGCAACUGCAUCACUACCAGAUGGACCUGCGUUGUAUUAGCUAGUAGGUGAGGUAACGGCUCACCUAGGCGACGAUACAUAGCCGACCUGAGAGGGUGAUCGGCCACACUGGGACUGAGACACGGCCCAGACUCCUACGGGAGGCAGCAGUAGGGAAUCUUCGGCAAUGGACGAAAGUCUGACCGAGCAACGCCGCGUGAGUGAAGAAGGUUUUCGGAUCGUAAAGCUCUGUUGUAAGAGAAGAACGGGUGUGAGAGUGGAAAGUUCACACUGUGACGGUAUCUUACCAGAAAGGGACGGCUAACUACGUGCCAGCAGCCGCGGUAAUACGUAGGUCCCGAGCGUUGUCCGGAUUUAUUGGGCGUAAAGCGAGCGCAGGCGGUUAGAUAAGUCUGAAGUUAAAGGCUGUGGCUUAACCAUAGUACGCUUUGGAAACUGUUUAACUUGAGUGCAGAAGGGGAGAGUGGAAUUCCAUGUGUAGCGGUGAAAUGCGUAGAUAUAUGGAGGAACACCGGUGGCGAAAGCGGCUCUCUGGUCUGUAACUGACGCUGAGGCUCGAAAGCGUGGGGAGCGAACAGGAUUAGAUACCCUGGUAGUCCACGCCGUAAACGAUGAGUGCUAGGUGUUAGGCCCUUUCCGGGGCUUAGUGCCGCAGCUAACGCAUUAAGCACUCCGCCUGGGGAGUACGACCGCCAAGGUUGGAAACUCAAAGGAAUUGACGGGGGCCCGCCACAAAGCGGGUGGGAG